UACGGAGGGGGCUAGCGUUGUUCGGAAUUACUGGGCGUAAAGCGUACGUAGGCGGACUUUUAAGUCAGGGGUGAAAUCCCGGGGCUCAACCUCGGAACUGCCUUUGAUACUGGAAGUCUUGAGUAUGGAAGAGGUAAGUGGAAUUGCGAGUGUAGAGGUGAAAUUCGCAGAUAUUCGCAGGAACACCAGUGGCGAAGGCGGCUUACUGGUCCAUUACUGACGCUGAGGUGCGAAAGCGUGGGGAGCAAACAGG
rnacentral:rRNA from 1 species